GCCUGGGUAGCUCAGACGGUAGAGCAUCAGACUUUUAAUCUGAGGGUCCACGGUUCAAGUCCCUGUUCAGGCG
rnacentral:tRNA from 1 species